rnacentral:rRNA from 1 species
UCAUUAGUCUUUUAAUUGAAGGCUCGUAUGAAUGGUUGGACGAGGAAUAAACUGUUUCAAUUAUAUAAAUUGAAUUUAACUUUUAAGUGAAAAGGCUUAAAUUUUCUAAAAAGACGAUAAGACCCUAUAAAUCUUUACAUUAAAAUUUACAGUUAUUUAAUUUGUAAGUUCAAAAGAAAAUGUUAAUUUAAUGUUAUGUUGGGGAGACAAAAAUAUAAUAAAAAUAACUAUUUUUUUAUAAAACAAAAAUUAUUGAAUUAAAGAUCCUUUUUAAAGAUUAAAAAAUUAAGUUACUUUAGGGAUAACAGCGUUAUUCUUUUUGAGAGUUCCCAUCGAAAAAAGAGUUUGCGACCUCGAUGUUGAAUUAAAAUUUCUUUAUGGUGCAGCAGCUAUAGAAGAAAGUCUGUUCGACUUUUAAAAUUUU